CCUACGGGUGGCAGCAGUCGAGAAUCAUUCACAAUGGGGGAAACCCUGAUGGUGCGACGCCGCGUGGGGGAAUGAAGGUCUUCGGAUUGUAAACCCCUGUCAUGUGGGAGCAAAUUAAAAAGAUAGUACCACAAGAGGAAGAGAAGGCUAACUCUGUGCCAGCCGCCGAGGUAAUACAGAGGUCUCAAGCGUUGGUCGGAAUCACGGGGCGUAAAGCGUGCGUAGGCUGUUUCGUAAGUCGUAUGUGAAAGGGGCGGGCUCAACCCGCGUACUGCAAAUGAUACUGCGAGACUAGAGUAAUGGAGGGUGAACUGGAAGUCCCGGUGUAGCAGUGAAAUGCGUAGAUA
rnacentral:rRNA from 1 species